GCCUGGCUGGCUCUGUUGGUAGAGCAUGUGACUCUUAAUCUCAGGGUCGUGAGUUUGAGCCCCAUGUUGGAUA
rnacentral:tRNA from 1 species